rnacentral:tRNA from 1 species
AGCCCGCUAUCGGAGUCGAACCGAUGACCAUCGCAUUACGGUCUGACCUCUGAGCUAAGCAGGC